AGGAAGAACCAGGAAGAGGCACAAAUGACUCAUUGUCCCACAUCCUCCAAGGUAACACAUGCACAGCCUAGGAUACAACCAACGGCUCUCUUCCAUUGUUCUAUUCGACACACUUCCCUGCACUUAUAGUUUUAAAAUAUCGUACACAUAACAUUAUGAUUUCAGUUCUAAAUGUAAACCAUGAUUUCUUUUUAAAGACGUAUGGCAGCCUUCAUUUCCAGUCAAGGCAUGCGACAUUUUAGGGUCCUGUGGAAGAAAUGCGAUAUGCUUUCAGAUCACGUGUGAAGGAGGUCUCACUGGGUUUAUAUCACUGAGUCAUGUGAGUGACCUCAUUACAUCCUGGAAACAGCCCUGUGUAGGUGUCAUCAUCAUCAGCCCCAUUGUAGAGAAGGACACCAAGACCCAGGAAGGAGGAGGGAUUCCAACAGGGUCCCACAGCACUGGCGGUGGGGCUGGGGCUACAAUCAGUUCACCUCUCCUACAUCACGUUUUACUGAGCAUCUGCUGUGCGCUGGACUCGCGGCUCGGUGUGAACAGGAUGCUGCGUCUUGCAUUUCCUCGGAAACAGGCUCUGUAAAUGUCAAGGCAAGCCCUUUGGCUUCCCUUGGAACUACUCAUUCUUGCAGAAGCUCAGCUAGAAGAGGAAGCUGGAGAGCGCGAAGGCAGCUGCCACCUCUUGCACGCGUGGGGGUCUCGGGGUAGCAGGGGCUGCUCUGUGCUGGGCUGGGCCAGUAGGGGGCGCCCUCCCUGGGAGCAGCAGGGCCUUCCAGAAGGCCAGGGCGGU
rnacentral:lncRNA from 1 species